GACGAACGCUGGCGGCGCGCUUAACACAUGCAAGUCGAACGGAAAGGCCUGCUUUCCCUUGUGGAUUGCGGGUACUCGAGUGGCGAACGGGUGAGUAACACGUGAGUGAUCUGCCCCCAACUUGGGUAUAAGCCUGGGAAACUGGGUCUAAUUCCCGAUAGGACUGCAGGGUGGUGCCUGUGGUGGAAAACGAUUUUCUAGUGGUUGGGGAUGAGCUCGCGGCCUAUCAGCUUGUUGGUGGGGUAAUGGCCUACCAAGGCGGCGACGGGUAGCCGGCCUGGGGGGGUGGACGGCCACAUUGGGACUGAGAUACGGCCCAGACUCCUACGGGAGGCAGCAGUGGGGAAUAUUGCACAAUGGGCGGAAGCCUGAUGCAGCGACGCCGCGUGGGGGAUGACGGCCUUCGGGUUGUAAACUCCUUUCGACCGCGAGGAAGCCACCUGGUUGGAAGGGUGGUGACGGUAGUGGUAGAAGAAGCACCGGCUAACUACGUG
rnacentral:rRNA from 1 species